rnacentral:lncRNA from 1 species
ACCUUAAGGCCCUCAAUCUUGUUCCUUCUACGCCUAGCAAGGGUCCUACCAUGGAAAUAUUUGGUAUUCCUAUCACCAUUUAGAAGCCAAGUUGAUUGAGAUUUCUAAAACCAUAAUAAUUUCUCAUUCUUCAAGACCUCCUCUAUCUCCUGCCUCAAACCCAUUUCCCGAGUUCAAAGCCUUUCAGAAGACCUUAAUUCUAGC